rnacentral:rRNA from 1 species
GACGAACGCUGGCGGCGUGCUUAACACAUGCAAGUCGAACGAAAAUACCAAGCUUGCUUGGUUGAUUAGUGGCGAACGGGUGAGUAACACGUGAGUAACCUGCCCCUUACUUUCCUGGAUAACUGCUCGAAAGGGUAGCUAAUACGGGAUAUUCUGACCAGCCUGCAUGGGUUGGUUUGGAAAGGUUGUUUUUCUGGUAAGGGAUGGGCUCGCGGCCUAUCAGCUUGUUGGUGGGGUGAUGGCCUACCAAGGCUUUGACGGGUAGCCGGCCUGAGAGGGUGGGCGGUCACACUGGGACUGAGAUACGGCCCAGACUCCUACGGGAGGCAGCAGUGGGGAAUAUUGCACAAUGGGCGCAAGCCUGAUGCAGCGACGCCGCGUGAGGGAUGAAGGCCUUCGGGUUGUAAACCUCUUUCGUCAGGGAACAAGGCACUGCUUUUUUGGUGGUGUUGAGGGUACCUGGAUAAGAAGCGCCGGCUAACUACGUG